rnacentral:rRNA from 1 species
UACAUAAGCAGUUAGCGCUACUUAUAUUAGAUGGGUGUAAAAUAAAUUUUGAUUGUUUAUUCGUAGGCAUACUCUUGGGUUUUUUGUAGGGGUAAAAUCCUUUACUAUAAAAAGCAACUCGACUCGAGUGUCUUGUGAGAUAAAAAUUUAGAUUUAAAAGUAUAGGUAGUUAAGAGGAUUAGAGACCCUUGUAAUCUAUACCAUAACUUAUGGGGCGUCAACUAUUUGUUGUAGUUAACGUAAAACGCCUCUACCGAGGGAUAAAAGCCGCAAGGCUGAAACUUAAAAAAAUUGGCGGGAUUUUUUAAAUGGUGGAUCAUGUGGUUUAAUGCGGUAAUCCCCGCAAAACCUUACCAAUAUGCACAUAAUAUUGUUUUUUUAACAAAAAAAAAUUAUUAUAUGCAAGUAUUGCAUGGCUGUCGUCAGUUCGUGUUUUGAAAUGUAGUAUUUAGUUAUAUAACGAACGUAACCUCUGCCCCUACUAUAGGGUUAAGAGACUAAGUCAAGUCUGUAUGAUCUAGGUAUAUUGGGCUACACACGUGAAAUAUUAUCUAAACAGUUUAAAUAGGUUGCAGCGAUGCAGCCUAAUAAAAUUUAUAGUUUAAUAGAUAAAAAGUUUAAAGUCACUUUUUUGAAAUAAAAAUCAUCAGUAAUCGCGGUUCAGAAUGCUGCGGUGAAGGUUAUAAAAAAUUUGCACACACCGCCCAUCACGCCCGAAAAAUUUUUGUAAUUUACGUUUAUAUGGCGCAAUUUGCUAAUAGCGGCUGCCGUAAUAUAAAAAUAAAGUUAUAUAAGUAAUUUGGGUGAAG